rnacentral:lncRNA from 1 species
GCCAAGGUUAUGCACUAUUAAGAAAACUAAUGCCAAUAUAAUAUCUUAUCCAAAGACAUCGGAGAUGGAGUGGAAAAUACAAUGUGUAGCCUAAUGGGGAGAUUCCAAAUCUAAACCAUUAAUUUGCUUACCUCCAAAGUCGUUCUCACACUAAGAUCGUCUAGAAAACAAGAAGUAUACCUUCAGUUCAAGCAUAUGUGAUCAAAUAUUUGAUUUGUCGCUAAAAAAUAAUUGCAAUAGAAUUAUUGACC